AGUAAUAUAUCGGAACGUUAUCCAAUAAUGGGGGAUAACUAAUCGAAAGGUUGGCUAAUACCGCAUACGCCCUACGGGGGAAAGCUAGGGAUCUUCGGACCUGGCGUUAAUGGAGCGGCCGAUAUCUGAUUAGCUAGUUGGUGAGGUAAGAGCUCACCAAGGCGACGAUCAGUAGCUGGUCUGAGAGGACGACCAGCCACACUGGAACUGAGACACGGUCCAG
rnacentral:rRNA from 1 species